UGUUAGGAGUCUUCAAAAUGUUUUUUUAAUUGCGUCGCAUUACGUAAUUACGUAUAUUAUGUCCCUUACAGGCGCACGUGUAUUUCAUAUCUAUAGAAAAUAUACUAAAUCUAUUACCUUUAUGCUGGCCAUAGUUUACGUUGAGUUUACGGUUUUUGAAAGUAUGAUAGAGGGUUGAUAUGUGUAGAUAAAGUAUUUAAUAUGACUUAUCAAAUGUAUGUCAAAUGCCUAUAAAAUAUUUUAGAUUAUAAAUAUAAAUCCGUCGUCGUUUAUUUCAUAUUACUAUUUACUCCAAAACUGGGAAGUGUGAAUAAAGUUACGGGUGCAGAAUGUUAUUGAAAGAUGACCCACCUUGCACCCCUACUCAACCGAUAGUUACAGAUCAUCACUCUAAAAAUUUUGAUGUCACAUUUACAUUUUGGAUGGGCAAGGUCGGCAAGCAUUAAAUCCCCGGAUUCCUGUUGAAAAUAAACGUCAAGACACUCAGCUGACCAUCAAUGCUAAUCAAACGAUAAAUAAAUUUGAGCGGAAC